CAGUCGACGGGAUUUAGUAAACAGAAACCUCGGUGGAAGAUUACUAAUGAGAGUGGCGAACGGGUGAGUAACGCGUGAGCAACCUGCCUAUGACAGUGGGAUAGCCUCGGGAAACCGGGAUUAAUACCGCAUAAAAUCGUAGAAGCACAUGUUUCAACGGUCAAAGAUUUAUCGGUCAUAGAUGGGCUCGCGUCUGAUUAGCUAGUUGGUGAGAUAACAGCCCACCAAGGCGACGAUCAGUAGCCGGUCUGAGAGGAUGAACGGCCACAUUGGAACUGAGACACGGUCCAAACUCCUACGGGAGGCAGCAGUGGGGAAUAUUGCACAAUGGGGGAAACCCUGAUGCAGCGACGCCGCGUGAACGAAGAAGGUAUUCGUAUCGUAAAGUUCUGUCCUAUGGGAAGAUAAUGACAGUACCAUAGAAGAAAGCUCCGGCUAAAUACGUGCCAGCAGCCGCGGUAAUACGUAUGGAGCGAGCGUUGUCCGGAAUUAUUGGGCGUAAAGGGUACGCAGGCGGUUUAAUAAGUCGAAUGUUAAAGAUCGGGGCUCAACCCCGUAAAGCAUUGGAAACUGAUAAACUUGAGUAGUGGAGAGGAAAGUGGAAUUCCUAGUGUAGUGGUGAAAUA
rnacentral:rRNA from 1 species